AAGUGUUAGUUCAGGUAACGAAACUGCGAACAGCUCAUUAACACACUUAGGAUCUAGUUGAUUGCGACUAAUUUAGUCAUAAAUGGAUAGCAGGAGUAAUUCUCGUGCUAAUACAUGCAAUUGUUACAUCAGAAAUGAAAUAUGAUGUAAAAGUUUACCUUUUUAGGAAAAUCAUAUGAUUGAGUGACCUAUCAGCUAAUACUUAGGGUCUUUUCCUAUGUAGGCUAUCACGGGUACCGGGCGGUUGCCGUCGUACUGCCGGAGAAGGCGCCUGAGAGAUAGCGACUAUGCCUACGGGCAGCAGCAGGCGCGAAACUUACCCACUCGACGACGUCGGAGGUGGUUAUGACCAGUUCUUAUUUGAGCUUCGGUUCAAAUUGGAUAGGAUAAUAAAUAGAUAUCAUUAUGUAAUCUAGCAGAGGGCCAGUCUGGUGCCAGCAGCUGCGGUAAUUCCAGCUCUGCGAGUUUGCUCCCAUAUUGUUGCAGUUAAAACGCCCGUAGUCUGAAAUCUAAUCUUGAAUAGGCAAAUUGCCGUUCACUGUGAACAAAUCAGGACGCUUAGAGUAAGUCUACAUGAAUGAUCUAGCACAGUCUGAAUAAUUUGCUUUUAUUAGCAAAAUCAAAGAGAACCAUUGGGGGUAGUUCUAUUUCAUGGCGAACGGUGGAAUGUUUUGACCCAUGAGAGAGAAACGAAAGCGAAGGCAACUACCUAGAGGGUAUCUAUCGAUCAAGGGCGAGAGUAGGAGUAGCGAACCGGAUUAGAGACCCGGGUAGUUCCUACAGUAAACGAUGUCGACAGGGGAUUGGUUUAAAGAUUAAAUCAGCACCCUAAGAGAAAUCAUAGUUCAUGGACUCUGGGGGAACUACGAUCGCAAGACUGAAACUUGAAGGAAUUGACGGAAGGGCACACAAGGGGUGGAGCCUGUGGCUUAAUUUGAAUCAACAUGGGGGGGAAACUUACCAGGACAAAAUGAUAUGGUGACUGACGUUUUGAAGAGCUUUCAGGAUAUGUUUGUGGGCGGUGCAUGGCCGUUGGUGGUGCGUGGGUUGACCUGUCUAGCGUUGAUUCAGGUAACGAGCGAGAUUACCGCCAAAUAAUAGGGAAUUAAAAUAUUGAAUUGAUAAUUCAUACUUCUAUUUGGAACUGCCUGGUUUAAAACAGGAGGAAGGUGGUAGCAAUAACAGGUCCGUGAUGUCCUUCAGAUGCUCUGGGCUGCACGCGUGCUACAAUGUGAAUAUCAAAUGGAAAAUGCUACUUUGAUAAAAGAUACUACUCCAUAAUGAUUCACGUAGUUGGGAUUGAAGAUUGUAAUCAUUUUCAUGAACUAGGAAUUCCUUGUAAGCGUGUGUCAACAACGCACGUUGAAUACGUCCCUGCCCUUUGUACACACCGCCCGUCGCUCCUACCGAUCAAAUGACCUGGUGAAAUUGUCAGAUCUUAUUUUUAGAAAAGACAUUUAAAUCAUGUUGUCUA
rnacentral:rRNA from 1 species